rnacentral:rRNA from 1 species
GACGAACGCUGGCGACGUGCUUAACACAUGCAAGUCGAACGGAAAGGCCCUGCUUUUGUUGGGUGCUCGAGUGGCGAACGGGUGAGUAACACGUGAGUAACCUGCCCUUGACUUUGGGAUAACUUCAGGAAACUGGGGCUAAUACCGGCUAGGAGCUCCUGCUGCAUGGUGGGGGUUGGAAAGUUUCGGCGGUUGGGGUUGGACUCGCGGCUUAUCAGCUUGUUGGUGGGGUAGUGGCUUACCAAGGCUUUGACGGGUAGCCGGCCUGAGAGGGUGACCGGCCACAUUGGGACUAAGAUACGGCCCAGACUCCAACGGGAGGCAGCAGUGGGGAAUAUUGCACAAUGGGCGGAAGCCAGAUGCAGCAACGCCGCGUGCGGGAAGACGGCCUUCGGGUUGUAAACCGCUUUCGCCUGUGACGAAGCGUGAGUGACGGUAAUGGGUAAAGAAGCACCGGCUAACUACGUG